GACUUUUUUUCACUUGUCUGAAACUUUUGAACCCUAAUUACUAACUCUCACUUCAACUCCAGCGCGCCUCCUUCUUCGCGUCGACCUCAUUCUCCAACCUGACCCUCCUUCCCCUCCAUCUCCACCUCCGACCAUCACCUCUCUCUCUUCUCCUUCUCUCUUGCUCCCUUGUCUUUCCAAACCCUACUCUCUCUCUCUCUCUAAAAUGCUCUCCGUCUCUAUCUAAAAUUGACGAAGAUGAAGUCUCUGUAGCUGCGCCAAAAUUUCUUAGGGGAGACGAUGGAGCCGCCCCAGUUGCCAAACCCUAGUCCGGCAGGCCUCGGUGAAAGCAUAAAGCCUCCAACGAGAACGCUUCUCCAUCUUCAGAUCUCAUCUUUACGGCCCUGGAUUCGAAGCCUUCGUCGGCGGCCAAGUUGAAUAGUCUGUUGCCGCCAUGGCCACGGCCAUUAAAUCCUCUCAAACGGAAGCUUGAGAUGCUUCCUGAGAACUCCGCCCAUGGAGCCUCUGAUUCCGGCGUCCCGAGCAAAUCAAGCAGAGA